UGGUGAAAAACAAGGACCAUUAUCCCUGUUUGCUCCAGGUGAUCACCAGACAAUAUCAGGACUCACACGUGUGAGUCCUUUCUAGCUCAGCUAGCCCACACCCUUAACCACCAGCUGAACAAAAGAGCCCCAGAGACAGCACUGAACGCAGCGCAGAUCAGCAGAACUUCCCUGCUGACCUCUGUUGUGCCAAAAAACAGACCAAAAGGUCAAUGGAAAAGAUUAGAAGAUGCAGAAACAACUCUGAACACAGUCACCUUCUGUUUGUAAAGGAACCAAAUACAUUCACUGGAAGAAACCUUCUUUAACAAAUGGCACUGGAUGAAGAGAAAAGUCAGUGCCUCCCAAGAAUCGGCCAUGCUAAGACCGGGAAGUUUCAACAAGAAACCAACUAGCCAGCCUUCCUGAUACUUCACUGUGGACUGCAGAUGAAGGAUAAACAAACAACCACUCAUCUUUGCUUGAAAGGCCCACGAGGCCAAAACAGGGCUGAUGACCCACAUGGAGGUAUUAACAAGUCUUAAAUCCUAUUCUCUCAAUAUAGCACAGAGCUAUCACUGAGUUAAUAAAGAUAAAGCCGAUGAAAUAAAGUCUAUGAAAACUUCCCAAGUUUGGUCCUUCCUAGCCAAGUUUGCUUUGGGAGGUGACUGUACUAUCAUCUUCAGUCCUCAAGACUUUUCCCCAUUCUCCAGACCAACUCCUUGCCAUGGAAUCCUCUUCAUGAUUCACUCAGCAGAGCCUCUUCAAAAGGAAAACAAGUUUGCUGACUGGGCUGCCUUUCCUGAGUGGGAGGAGUAAGAGUAGUGCCUUGGUUACCUAUGAAUCAUCAAAAAAAAAGAAAAUACAAGUCAGACCAUGCUCCCUCUUAGCCAACCAUGGCCUAUGAAGACCAGAGCUCUGGUGCAGAAUAUCAUUGGCCCAUCAGUCUCAAGGCCACCUCUCAGUUCCACAUGUACCAUAAGUGCACAAAGUCACCAAACUGAACGCUAUUAAAUUUAUCACUGGUCUGCUUUCUUAGUUAGGGUUUACUAAAAGAACAGAUUUAACAUACAAUAUGAAAUCAAGGGUGUAAGAAUGCAAAGUGCCUGUCUGCAUACUGCAGGGCCGGAAGAGCCAGUUGAAGAUUGAAGGCCUGCAUCUCACCACAGAAUUCAGGAUGAGUCUGUGUUACAAAAAACAAAAGGGUCUGCAUUUGAAAGCUGAAGAGUCUGCACUGGAAGCCUCAAGGAAUUGAAGAUGAACAUCUACGGGAAUGACAAAGACUGGAGCUCCUCAAAGAAAGAAAGGGAAGAUUUAGUUAUUUUCCUCCUCAUUCUGUCUAGGCUAUAAGCCAGUUGGUUGGUGCAACUCACAUCUGAGAUGGAUCUUUCUCCUCAGUUUGGUCUAUGUAUCAAUUAUCCUCAGACACACCCAGCGCUUUUGUAAUCUGCUAGGUAUUUCUUAUUCAAGUCAAGCUGACAUCACAGUGAUCACAUCUGCCUUUUGUAGAAACUGCUGGGAAUUCAUAUUUCUGCCCGUUUCCUAACAUAUGAGCCUUCCUUUCAUCUCUUAAAACAUUUCUGCCCACUCUCACAUCACCAUGCAUCUAAAGAUGUCUAGCCCUCUGCUAUUUUAUGUAUAUUUGUCCUUCAUCCAGAGGCAUUGGUAGCAGAGCCUAACUUCUUGGGAAUGCAUCCCAGCUGUUUCACUUUAAAACAUGGACUCCACUAAUGACAACAACUUGUGGCUCAGUUUCUACAGUUGUUAAAUGAAGAUUUACCACCUUUUCUUCCAAAAUUUCCGUGGGCUUCUAAUUUAUCAGUGUGCAUUCCUGAUCCUAUCUGAACUAUUUCCCACACAGACUCACAUUUGUGGAUCCACAAGCCUGGCCAUCGUGAUAUUCAAGACUCAUUCUUCACUUGGUCUUAUAUACUGCGUAAAAAGUCAUCAAAGUGUAUCUAUUGUUUAUGUCUGGAUACUAUGCUUCAAAAACUAUUUACUUAAAAUUUUUUCAGUUAUGUCACAACUACUUCACUAGACAGGACUUACUUUUUUUACUCUGCUCUCCCCUUCCCUUUAAAGAAUUAUACAUAUACACUUUAAUAAAAAGUAAAAUAAAACAACAAACAAAUGAAAAUUUAAAAUGAUGCAUGCACAUUCUCAGCACCUGGAGACAAUCACUGCUAAAACUUUAGCAGAUGUAUGUCAUCUUUACAAUAAAAUUUAUGUUAAUUGUGUGCUACAA